rnacentral:rRNA from 1 species
UAACGCGUAAAGAACUAGCCUCACAGAUAGGACGAACAUUUGGAAACGGAAGCUAAUACCUGAUAUUAUGAUUUUAGGGUAUCCUAGGAUUAUGAAAGCUAUAUGCGCUGUGAGAGAGCUUUGCGUCCCAUUAGCUAGUUGGAGAGGUAACGGCUCACCAAGGCGAUGAUGGGUAGCCGGCCUGAGGGGGUGAUCGGCCACAAGGGGACUGAGACACGGCCCUU